AACCUCCGUCCAUACCAAUCUUCCAAGCAAAAGAAGAUAUUGUUUGGUAAACAUUUUUAUUAGUUAAAUUUACAAUAGUUAAACUAGGAUAUACACAAAAUUUACAAUUAGAGGUCGUAGUUUUGAGUAUUAAAACUGCAAUUAGUGCAUAACGGGAUAGGCCGAGUUAACUAAGUUCAUUCGCCCUCUAAUACGAGUCAACUCGGUCAACUCACUCCGCGUUCCCGUCGCCGGCGACUUAUAGCCACCUAAAAUCGAACGGGAGACUUCCGAUCUACCACCAUACAUUAGCUUGGUCCCCAGCAGCUUAGGUACAUAACUUGCCGGAGUGACUCAUCAGUUUGUUUCCUCUUCUCCUCGCCUUUUCCGCCUCCGAUGAACCCCCCGACAUCAGAUCCUAAUAUACCGGACAUCGGCCGGAGACCGGCAACGUCGGUUCCGGAAGCGACAGAAGAGGAGAAUCUUUUUUUACCGUGGUUUAGAGAUUGGAUGCCGGAUUUCAAUUUCUGGCCGUGAUCGGCGUGGCUGUUUACGACGGCGACGGUAGUGGCUACCCAAACGCGGUUAAAGUAACUCAUGAUUGAUUAAUUUUGAAGUUAAAUAAAGAAAUUAGUUAUCCUGUUGAUUCAAG
rnacentral:misc_RNA from 1 species